rnacentral:rRNA from 1 species
GACGAACGCUGGCGGCGUGCCUAACACAUGCAAGUCGAACGGAAAUACACGCGGAGACUGAGACAGCUUGCUGAGGAAGAAUCUUGUGUAUUUUAGUGGCGGACGGGUGAGUAACGCGUGAGUAACCUGCCUUUCAGAGGGGGAUAACGUUCUGAAAAGAACGCUAAUACCGCAUGACGCUUUUGUACCGCAUGGUGCGAAAGUCAAAGGAGCAAUCCGCUGAAAGAUGGACUCGCGUCCGAUUAGAUAGUUGGUGAGAUAACGGCCCACCAAGUCGACGAUCGGUAGCCGGACUGAGAGGUUGAUCGGCCACAUUGGGACUGAGACACGGCCCAGACUCCUACGGGAGGCAGCAGUGAGGAAUAUUGGGCAAUGGGGGCAACCCUGACCCAGCAACGCCGCGUGAGGGAAGACGGUUUUCGGAUUGUAAACCUCUGUCCUCUGUGAAGAUAAUGACGGUAGCAGAGGAGGAAGCCACGGCUAACUACGUGCCAGCAGCCGCCGUAAAAC